UGCUGGAGGUAUCAGAAGUGCGAAUGCUGACAUAAGUAACGAUAAAGCGGGUGAAAAGCCCGCUCGCCGGAAGACCAAGGGUUCCUGUCCAACGUUAAUCGGGGCAGGGUGAGUCGACCCCUAAGGCGAGGCCGAAAGGCGUAGUCGAUGGGAAACAGGUUAAUAUUCCUGUACUUGGUGUUACUGCGAAGGGGGGACGGAGAAGGCUAUGUUAGCCGGGCGACGGUUGUCCCGGUUUAAGCAUGUAGGCGGAGGUUCCAGGUAAAUCCGGUACCUUUUAACGCUGAGGUGUGAUGACGAGGCACUACGGUGCUGAAGUAACAAAUGCCCUGCUUCCAGGAAAAGCCUCUAAGCAUCAGGUAACAUUAAAUCGUACCCCAAACCGACACAGGUGGUCAGGUAGAGAAUACCAAGGCGCUUGAGAGAACUCGGGUGAAGGAACUAGGCAAAAUGGUGCCGUAACUUCGGGAGAAGGCACGCUGGUGUGUAGGUGAAGUCCCUGCGGACGGAGCUGAGACCAGUCGAAGAUACCAGCUGGCUGCAACUGUUUAUUAAAAACACAGCACUGUGCAAACACGAAAGUGGACGUAUACGGUGUGACGCCUGCCCGGUGCCGGAAGGUUAAUUGAUGGGGUUAUCCGUAAGGAGAAGCUCUUGAUCGAAGCCCCGGUAAACGGCGGCCGUAACUAUAACGGUCCUAAGGUAGCGAAAUUCCUUGUCGGGUAAGUUCCGACCUGCACGAAUGGCGUAAUGAUGGCCAGGCUGUCUCCACCCGAGACUCAGUGAAAUUGAACUCGCUGUGAAGAUGCAGUGUACCCGCGGCAAGACGGAAAGACCCCGUGAACCUUUACUAUAGCUUGACACUGAACAUUGAGCCUUGAUGUGUAGGAUAGGUGGGAGGCUUUGAAGCGUGGACGCCAGUCUGCGUGGAGCCAACCUUGAAAUACCACCCUUUAAUGUUUGAUGUUCUAACGUAGGCCCCUGACCGGGGUUGCGGACAGUGUCUGGUGGGUAGUUUGACUGGGGCGGUCUCCUCCCAAAGAGUAACGGAGGAGCACGAAGGUUAGCUAAUCCUGGUCGGACAUCAGGAGGUUAGUGCAAUGGCAUAAGCUAGCUUGACUGCGAGCGUGACGGCGCGAGCAGGUGCGAAAGCAGGUCAUAGUGAUCCGGUGGUUCUGAAUGGAAGGGCCAUCGCUCAACGGAUAAAAGGUACUCCGGGGAUAACAGGCUGAUACCGCCCAAGAGUUCAUAUCGACGGCGGUGUUUGGCACCUCGAUGUCGGCUCAUCACAUCCUGGGGCUGAAGUAGGUCCCAAGGGUAUGGCUGUUCGCCAUUUAAAGUGGUACGCGAGCUGGGUUUAGAACGUCGUGAGACAGUUCGGUCCCUAUCUGCCGUGGGCGCUGGAGAAUUGAGGGGGGCUGCUCCUAGUACGAGAGGACCGGAGUGGACGCAUCACUGGUGUUCGGGUUGUCAUGCCAAUGGCACUGCCCGGUAGCUAAAUGCGGAAGAGAUAAGUGCUGAAAGCAUCUAAGCACGAAACUUGCCCCGAGAUGAGUUCUCCCUGAGACUUUAAGUCUCCUGAAGGAACGUUGAAGACGACGACGUUGAUAGGCCGGGUGUGUAAGCGCAGCGAUGCGUUGAGCUAACCGGUACUAAUGAACCGUGAGGCUUAACCUUACAACGCCGAAG
rnacentral:rRNA from 1 species